GAGAUCGUGACCUGAGCCAAAGUCAGAUGCUUAACUGACUGAGCCACCCAGGUGCCCCCGACACUGAUUAUUUUCUGGUUGUUUGUUUUGUUUUGUUUGUUUGUUUGGAUAGUAGUAAUUCCUAAUCUCCUAGGUGUUUGUACCUACUACCCACCCCCCACCUAGCCCUGACACUCUGCCUCAAGUCACUUGUGUCCUCAGGCCGAGAGGGUCACAUCCUCUGGGCACAGACAAUCAUUUCUGUAUCCCCUUCAGUGAGCAGCACACUUGUCAUGUUGAACGAUCCCUGGUUUCCAGAAGAUUACACUCGGCAGGGGGAAGUAAAAAAUUUACAUAUUCUGGAAAGGCCAAGUUGGGCGUGGCUGGGACUACCUUAGGGCCACCGACAGGGGGUGGCCACAGUAGGCUCCCUCCUUCUGGUCUCCACAUUUCUUCACCGCUCUCGGAGAUAAAUAGACUGCUUAGAAGGUCGGCACAAGGUCUGACGCACCCCACUGCCCCAGCCUGGGUUCCGGGGAACCCCUUCCUGCCCUCCUGUCUCAGGGUCUCUGAACACCCAGGUCUCCUGAGCACACGCUCUGUGCCAUCCUGGCUUUCAAGGCCCAGCUCAGGCACCUCACCAGCACCCUUUCCCCAGCCGGAAGCCCUCACACUGUCCCUCCAGCUCCCACGGGCCCAUCCCAGCUUUCUGCUGUGGUACAGGGAGAAGAGCAUGGGACAGAAAUUUGAAGAUCUGAGUCUGAUCCUGGCUGUCUCUCCAGCUGGCUUUUCGUCGUGGCUGACAGAUUCCUCCUCGAAGAGCCAACCCAAAUGCUGUCUCCUCUGACGCCUCUCGCUCUCCGCUGCGAGCCGGCCUUCCCCCGAACCCCAGCGACUCCGGGGUGCUAUCUCGAUGAUCCCAGAAUCAACAGCAUUUUGUCUCCUCCGCCAGACUGUGGGUCCCGGGGAGCACAUCACCUCCUCCUCCUCCUCAUCGCUGACACCCCAGUGCACCUGCCAGCUGUUUGCAGACAAGAGAAGGUGAAGUCAGUGGGAUUAAACACAAGGAGAGCAUUGUGCGGAUGGGACAGUCAAGAUGUUCUUCCGUUUCAGCGGUGCAACAUAGGCUUUGUGACCCAGCUGGGGGCAAGGGAGGCCAGGAUCGCAGGCUGAUGCUGUGCUGUGCAACCCGACAUAUGGGAAAACAGACACAAUGAAGCAAUCUGCCCCAGAAGGGUCCCAGGCCUCAGGAAUGCGGGCACAGAGGGGCCUGGGGCAGGGAGACUCUUGGGAAGGAGCGGGUAAGUGGAAAUCAGCGCUGUGCCACACGCGAGAGAGCCUGGGGGAGAACCGCAGACUUGAGCAGUUUCCCCAAACUGCCUGGGCAUUAGAAUCACCUGGAGGCUUUUACCUGUCUUGUUAUGAAAGAGUUUAUUUUCUUUCUGUAGAGCCAUACCUAAAAAAAGAUGGGUAGUAACAUUAAAAAAAAAAAAACAAAAGCAAAAAACAAAAAACAACCCCAGCCCAGCUGCCAGGGUUUAUCCGUGUUACCGGAGGUGCACAUGAGGUUACCUUGAGGUCCUCAAGGCAGAAUGAGCAUGUGCGGUACAGGCAGAGGCCAGGAGCAUCGGUUGAAAGUGUGUUCAGGGAGGAGGACCCGGUCUUUGGCAACUCAGGAGACCACAGGCGUGUGUGGUCCACAGGGGCCGGCAGCGACAGAUGUGAGACUCUACCACGUGGGAUGGAAGUCAGCACAGACGCGAAGUCCCCACGGGUGGACCUCUAAGGUCCAAAGAUGGGGGCUGAGGAGGAUAUGGGGAACCAGGUUCCAAGUCGCCGUCCAAGAGGAGUGGAGGAGAGAAGGCUUUUGUCUGUUAGUUGGAACCGUCGACUCCUGUGCUCUUGAACCAGCAUCUCCAGGGGCAAGGCCCUUGGUUCCCAGCGGAGCCAGCCUGGCACCGGUCCGAGGACAGGUGUGGUCAGCCACCGGGAUGGAUGAGGAGAGCGCUGUCAGGAGAUAAAGCUCUAAGCCAUGGACCCAGAUCUCCCAAGGAGUCCCGGGUGAUCUCCAGCUACUUAUUCUGUACUCCUCUUCGUCUCCAUUUCUUCAUGUGAUCAAAGUGAGAGACCAUAACACCUCUCCUACAGCUUUGAUGGAGGGAUUACAUGAGAUCAUGUAGAUGUUGGUGUUUGUUGGCCCACUAACCCUGGCAGGUGGACACACGGGGCUAGAGACCCAUUGCCUGUGUUAAUCAUCAAACCUCAGGAGAUCGGUGUGUGUUUAUGAUUCGUAAGGGGCGUCGUGAGGUAGGAGUGGGUUGAUGGCCCAGGCCUUGAUCCCAGAUGCCCACACCCUCUCAGAUGACACUGGCAAAGUCCACCUGGUUUGGGUCCCCCAUGCCAUUGGGAGCAUGUCUACUCCCCUACCAUGGUGGGGACCCACGCUAAGACUGGGGUGUCUCAGAUCGAAGAUUGCCUGUUUGACUGGCACCUGUUGCCCUCUGCGUGGCCUUCUCGGACCCCAGUGACCUUGGGAGAAUCCCUUGUUGCUCUGUCUGCAGCUUCGCAGUAGGAGUUGCAGGAAAUCGUUCGGGGUCUCUGCAGCAGCCCCAGGGCCUUUCAGUAGAGUCAAGCAUCACUGGCCUUGUCGAGACCCUUGGUGGGCACCUUGGUGGCAGGAGUAUGUCAACUGGGGGCCAGAGGCAGGCCCGGCCACCGCCUGGCUGAUGGCUCAGAAGGAGCAGCUCAGGAACCCUCUGUGCCCAGAGGACUUUGACGUCUUUUCAUUCCAACGCCGAGGACAGCCUCGUUCAUCUAGGAAGCUCUCGGGACUGAAGGUGGUCAUUCCUCCUGCCCACCCACCACCACCCUAGCAUUCGUGGAAAACGCUCUUUGGAAGAGAAGGGUUUUUCCCCUUAGGAGGUCGCCGAGAGACAUCGGAACACAGGCAACCAGAGAAAGAUCUUGGAACCGGGGACUCGGGAGACCUGGGCCCUAACCCUUGCCAGAUGACCUUGAAACAAAGGGCUCGUCUUGGAAAGUGAGGAGGACGCCAGCCGGCCUGGCAAAACCACAGGUGGUUGUGAAGUCAGUGGAAAUGUGUUAGAAGGUGGAACCCACCUGGGAGGUGUGAAACGCUCUCCAAACGGCAGGGGACACCACUGUCCUCGCCUCUGGCUUGUUGCCAGCCACGUCCUACUCACCCUUGCCUGGCACCUGUGCCAGUCCUCCUGGGCUUUGGCUCCUGUGGAUCCUCCACGUGGAGCACUGAACAACACUGUGAACAUAAGUGAGGCAUACAGGGCUCUUGAAGAUGUCAAAAUUGAGCUCGUGCUCUUCUGCCAAUGAUGCUGCCUCUCGAGUCUUCUCCACCCGAGGAACAGAAUCUCCAUCGAGGGAGCCACACUGCACCAGCAAGCUGGACAUCCAUUCUAGUAGAUUCCAGGGCCAUGGCUUACUUUUCCCUCCACUGGGCCGGCAGGAAGUGUGCUGAGCAGAGAGUCAGAGAGGGGCUUGUUGGGGGAAAAGGGAGGAAGAAGAGGAAGGAGGGAGGGAGGAGGCCCCGCGCGACAUGACCUCUAAGGUCCAGGCAAUCAGGAAUAAAGGAGUAAGAGCUGAAGGGAGGGACAGUCCCCAGCCCCCCAACCUGAACCCUACAGCAAAGAACUGCUUAAACCUUCAGGGUUUGGUUUGGGGAGGGCAAGGAGCCAGUAUCUGGAACUGGUAGAGAAAUGGCCAACGUACUGUUCCAUUGUACCCAUCACCCCUAGGCGUUAGCCGUGCUCUCCCGCAGAUCGCAGAUCCCCGCAGGGUGCACCUUGCCUCGCCCCUGCCUACCUCGAUAGAGCCAUCCAGAGUGGGCUGUGCCCCCCCACCUCCCAGCCUGGCUUCGUCUGGCUGGUGCCUUUGUCCAGAGCGCUCUGCCCCCUGCCCGCCGUCCUCACCGUCAGGUCUCAUUCACACGACAUGCUAACUGCUGUAAAGCGUACAAUUGAAUGUCAUUUAGAACAUAUACAACGCUGGGCGCCUGAGUGGCUCAUCUGACUUCGGCUCAGGUCAUGAUCUCACAGUUCGUGAGUUCGAGUCCCACAUCGGGUGAGCUCAAGCCCCAUCUCGGGUGAAAACUCUCUCUCUCACCCCCUCUGCCCCUCUUGGGAUUCUCUCUCUCUCUCUCUCUCUCUCUCUCUGUGCCUCUCACUCACCUGUGCCCCCCCCAAAAGAACAUUUACAAUGUUGUACAGCCAUCCCCUCUCCCUAGUUCCAAGACAUUUUCAUCUUCCCAAAAGGAAACCCUGUACCCCAUUAAGCAGUUACUCCCCAUUUCCGCCUCCGGGAGUCUGCUUUCUGCCUCUAUGAAUUUUCCUUUCUGGCCAUUUCGCUGCUAUGAAAGUUCACGUACGAGCAUGUGUCCGAAUACCUAUUUUCAGUUCUUUUGGGCAUAUACCUAGGAGUGAAUUGCUGGGUCAUGCGGUCAUUCUGCGCUUAAUUUUCUGAGGAAUCGUCCCUUUGUUUUUGACGUCUUCCUUACCCCUAGGUGUCUGUACCUGUGCUGUCCCACACCGUAGCCCCCAGCCCUGUGUGGUUGUUUCCAUUUAAAUCGGUGAAAAUGGGGACGCCUGGGUGGCUCAGUCGGUUGAGCGUCCGACUUCAGCUCAGGUCACCAUCUCACGGUCCGUGAGUUCGAGCCCCGCGUCGGGCUCUGGG